AAGGGCGCUGCCCUGGACUCAGGGAGCUCACUCCUCCUCUCUGGGCAACAGAGAAAAGUCACCCACUGCAGCAAAAGCCAUGAGAAUAUGCUCAGUGAUAAGGCAGUGGCGUUAAAUCUGCAGGCAGUGGGCUAUCUGUGGGUCCUUAAAUCUAUUUAGUGCAUCUUGAACAGUAUUUUUAAGCUGGGAUAAGUGGAAUAGGAAGGAGUGGAGUGGAGCAUGAUGAUCAUGGACAAAGCACUUAAAACCACACAGUGUAAGGGACUACAGUCCCUUAGGAGCUGCUUUUGCAAUAAUUUACCUGAAAACUGAUGAUUCCCCCAACAACCCUGGGAGGUGGCAAGAUAGGAUCAUGCUUCUCCUUGCAAAGCUGAGACGAUGGGGACUUGGCAAGGCUGAGAGACUCUCUGGAGGUUGACAGCUGAGAGGUCAGAGCACCAGACCUGGGGGUCCCACAGCCCAGCUCCCAGUGUGGAGGGUCCUGCUGUGCCCACUGCCACCAAAAACACAGCUUCGCCCAGCAUCAUGCAGUAUCUGCCACACAGCGUCUGUCUGCCACAUGGCAUCUGCCACCUGAACUAUCUCCAGGCACCUCUGCAGUUACAGCAACAGCAUCACGAACCUCAGACUUAAACAGCACAACAGGCUCCUCCCAGGUCUCCAGCUACACAACCCUCAGACUUAAACAACAGCAGCGGCACCAGCUCCUCCCUGGGUCUCCAGCUCCACAAACCUCAAAUUAGAACAGCAGCACUGGCUACACCCAGUCUCCAGCUCUACACCUCUAACUUGAACUACAGCCACCAGCUCCUUCCUGGGUCUCCGGCUCCACAGACCUUAAACGAAAACAGCAGCACUGGCUCCUCCCCAGGUCCCCAGCUACAGACCCUCAAACAAGAAGAACAGCAGCACCAGCUCCACCUAAAGUCUCCAGCUCCACACCUCAAACUAGAACUUCAGCACCCGCUCCUCCCCGAGUCUCAAUAUCUGUGACCCUCAAAAUAAAACAGCAGGACCAGCUCCUCCUCUGGUCUUCAGCUUCACGACCUUAACUGUAACAGCACCACCCGCUCCUCCGGGGUCAACAGCUCCGACGCUAAAACUAGAACAGCAGACCAGCUUCUACCUAAAACACCAGCUCCGAGACUCUCAAACAAGAACAGCAGCACUGACUUCUCUCACCAGGUCUCCAGCUCCACGAUCCUGAAACUUGAACGGCAGCACCCGCUCCUCCCCGGGUCUCCAGCUCCACGAACCUCAAACUUGAACAGCAGCACCCGCUCCUCCCAGCGUCUCCAGCUCCAUGAACCUCAAACUUGAACAGCAGUACCCGCUCCUCCCCGGGUCUCCAGCUCCACGAACCUCAAACUUGAACAGCAGCACUCGCUCCUCCCAAGGUCUCCAGCUCUGCGAACCUCAAACUUGAACUGCAGCACCUGCUCCUCCCCGGGUCUCCAGCUCCACGAACCUUAAACUAAAACAGCAGUACUCACUCCUCCCCAGAUCCCCAGCUGCAGACCCUCAAGCUGCAACAGCAGCACCAUCUCCUCUCCAGGUCUCCAGCUCCAUGGACCUUAAACUAGAACAGCAGCACCAGCUCCUCCUUGGGACAACAGCUCCAAGACCCUCAAACUACAACAGCAGCCCUGACUCCUGCCCAGGUUUACAGCUCCACAAACGUCAAACUUGAACUUCAGCACUAGCUGAAGUCUCCAGCUCCCUGACCCUCAAACUAGAACAGCAGCACCAUCUCCUCUCUGGGUCUCCAGCUCCACGAACCUCAAACUUGAACUGCAGCACCUGCUCCUCCCUGGAUCUCCAGCUCCACGGACCUUAAACUAAAACAGCAGUACUCGCUCCUCCCCAGGUCCCCAGCUGCAGACCCUCAAACUGCAACAGCAGCACCAUCUCCUCUCUGGGUCUCCAGCUCCAUGGACCUUAAACUAGAACAGCAGCACCAGCUCCUCUCCUGGUCUCCAGCUCCAGGACCCUAAAACUAGAACAGCAGCACCAGCUCCUCCUUGGGACAACAGCUUUAAGACCCUCAAACUACAACAGCAGCCCUGACUCCUGCCCAGGUUUACAAACCUCAAACUUGAACUUCAGCACUGGCUGAAGUCUCCAGCCCCAUGACCCUCAAACUAGAACAGCAGCACCAUCUCCUCUCUGGGUCUCCAGCUCCAUGGACCUUAAACUAAAACAGCAGCACCAGCUCCUCCCGAGGUCCCCAUCUACAGACCCUCAAACUACAGCAGCACCAGCUCCACCCAAAGUCUCCAGCUCCCCACCUCAAACUAGAACUCCAGCACCCGCUCCUCCCCGAGUCUCAAUAUCCGCCACUCUCAAACAGCAGCACCGGCUCCUCCCCUGGUCUUCAGCUUCACGACCCUAACUAUAACAGCACCACCCGCUCUUCCGGGGUCAACAGCUCCAAGACUCUAAAACUAGAACAGCAGACCAGCUUCUACCCAGGUCACCAGCUCCGAGACUCUCAAACUAGAACAGCAGCCUUAACUUCUCGCCAAAUCUCCAACUCCACGACCCUUAAACUUGAACUGCAGCACUUGCUCCUCCCCAGGUCCCCAGCUACAGACCCUCAAACUAAACAGGAGCACUGACUUCUGCCCACAUAUCCAGCUCCACGAACCUCAAAGUUAAACUUCAGUACCAACUCCUUCCCGCGUCUCCAGCUCCACGACCCUCAAACUACAAUAGCAACACUGGCUCCCCAAUCCCAGGUCUCCAUCUCCACGACCAUCAAACUUGAGUUGCAACACUGGCUCCACCCAAAUUCUCCAGCUCCAGGAUGCUAACUGUAAUAGCAGCACCAGCUCCUCUGCAGGUCACCAGCUCCAAGACUCUCAAACUAGUACAGCAGCACUGACGCCUGCCCAGGUUUCCAGCUCCAUGAACCUCAAACUUGAACUGCAGCACCACCUCCUCCCUGGUUCUCCAGCUUCACGACCCUCAAACUAGAACAGCAGCACCAGCUCCAACCAAAGUCUCCAUCUCCACGCCUCCAACUUGAACUCCAGCACCAGCUCCUUCCUGGGUCUCAUGAUCCAUGACCCUGAAAAUAAAACAGCAGCACCAGCUCCUCUCUAGGUCUCCAGCUCCACGAACCUCAAAUUUAAAAAGCAGCCCUGGCUCUAACCCAGGUCUCCAGCUCCACCAUCGUCAAACUUGAACGGCAGCACUAGCUCCUCCCAAAGUCUCCAGCCCCACGACCCUAAAACAUGAAGAGCAGCAUUGGCUCCUCCCCAGGUCUUCAGCUUCACAACCCUAACUCUUACAGCAACACCCGCUCCUCCCCAGGUUGCCAGCUCCAAGACCCUAAAACUAGAACAGCAGACCGGCUCCUACUCAGGACACCAGCUCCAAGACUGUUAAACUAGAACAGCAGCACUGAUUUCUCACCAGGUCUCCAGCUCCACGACCCUCACACUGGAACUACAGCAACAGCUCCGCCCAGGUCUCCAGCUCCAGGGACCUUAAACUAAAAUAGCAGCACCAGCUCCUCUGCAGGUCCCCAGCUACAGACCCUCAAACUAGAAUAGCAGCACCAUCUCCUCUCCAGUUCUCCAGCUCCACGACCUUGAAACUAGAAAAGAAACACUGACUCCCCCCCACCACCAAUCUCCAUCUCCAGGAACAUCAAACUUGAACUACAACAGCGGCUCAACCCAAAGUCUCCAGCUCCCCGACACUAACUACAACAGCAGCACCAGCUCCUCCCUGGCUCACCAGCUCCAAGAUCCUCAAACCAGAACAGCAGCACUGACUCCUGCCCAGGUCACCAGCUCCAAGACCCUCAAACCAGAACAGCAGCACUGACUCCUGCCCAGGUCACCAGCUCCAAGACUCUCAAACUAGAAUAGCCACACUGACUCCUGUCCAGGUCACCAGCUCCAAGACUUUCAAACUAGAAUAGCCACACUGACUCCUGUCCAGGUUUCCAGCUCCAUGAAACUCAAACUUGAAUUGCAACACUGGCUCCUCUCCAGGUCUCCAGCCACUCAUCCCUCAAACUGUUGCUCCUCCCUGUGUCUCCAGCUUCAUGACCCUCAAACUUGAACUGGGGCACCCGUUCCUCCCCGGGUCUCCAGCUCCACGACACGUGAACUGCAGCACUUGAUCCUUCCUGAGUCUCCAGCUCCAUGACCCUUAUACUUGAACAGCAGCACCAAUUCCUGCCCAGGUCUCCAGCCUCAUGACCUUCAAAUUUAAAAAGCAGAACUGGCUCCAACCCAGGUCUCCAGCUCCACCAUCAUCAAACUUGAAUGGCAGCACUAGCUCGCCACAAAGUCUCCAGCUCCCAUGACCCUCAAAUGUGAACAGCAGCACUGGCUCCUCCCCAGGUGUUCAGUUUCACGACCCUAACUAUUACAGCAACACCUGCUCCUCCCCAGGUCACCAACUCCAAGACCCUAAAACUAGAACAGCAGACCGGCUCCUACCCAGGUCACCAGCUCCAAGACUCUCAAACUAGAACAGCAGCACUGACUUCUUGCCAGGUCUCCAGCUCCAUGACCCUCAAGCUUGAACCGCAGCAACAGCUCCACCCAGGUCUCCAGCUCCACAAACCUUAAACAACAGCACCGGCUCCUCCAGAGGUCCCCAGCUACAGACCCUCAAACUAGAACAGGAGCACUGACUCCUGCCCAGAUAUCCAGCUCCACGAACCUCAAACUUGAACUGCAGUACCAGCUCCUUCCCGGGUCUUUAGCUCCGUGACCCUGAAAAUAAAACAGCAGCACUGGCUUUUCCCCAGAUCCCCAGCUCCACGACCCUCAAAUUUAAAAAGCAGCACCAGCUCCUCCCUGGGUCAGCACCUCCAUGACCCUCAAACCUGAACUGCAGCACUGGCUCCUCCCCGGGUCACCAGAUCCCAGACCCUCAAACUAGAACAGCAGCACUGACUCCUCCCCAUAUCUCCAGCUCCAUGACCAUCAAACUUGAAGACUAGCACCAUUUCCUUUCUGGGUCUCCAGCUCCACGACCCUCAGACUUGAACAGCAGUGCCAACUCCUUUCUGGGUCUCCAGCUCCACUAUCUUCAGACUUGAACAGCAGCACCAGCUUCUCCCCAGGUCUCCAGCUCCAUGACCCUCAAACAGGAACAGCAGCACCGGCUCCUCCCUGGGUCUCCAGCUCCUCAAGUCUGAGGAUCAUGGAGCUGGAGACCCAGAAAGGCAAUGGUGCUACUCUUCAAGUCUGAGGGUCAUGGAACUGGAGACCCGGGGAGGAGCUGGUGCUACCGCUGUUCAAGUUUGAGCAUCUUGGAGCUGGAGACCCAGGGAGCCGCCACUCGAACGGUAGCUCCUCCCCCAGUCUCUAGCUCCAUGACCCUCAAACUCGAAGAGUAGCACCAUUUCCUUUCUGGGUCUCCAGCUCCAUGACCCUCAGACUUGAACAGCAGCACCAGCUCCUUUCUGGGUCUCCAGCUCUCCUAUCUUCAGACUUGAAUGGCAACACCAGCUUCUCCCCACGUCUCCAGCUCCACGACCCUCAGACUUCGACAGCAAUCCGGCUCUUCCCCUGGUCUCCAGCUCCAUGACCCUCAAACUAGAACAGCAGCACCGGUUCCUUUCUGGGUCUCCAGCUCCACGAUAUUCAGACUUGAAUGGCAGCACCAACUUUUCCCUGGGUCUUCAGCUCCAUGACCUUCAGACUUGAACGGCAGCACUGGCUCCUCCCCUCUCCAGCUCCAUGACCUUCAGACUUGAACGGCAGCGCCGGCUCCUCCCUGGGUCUCGAACCUGCCCAGCCUGCAGAUUUUGGACUUGCUAGCCUUCAGGAUCACAUUAGCCAAUUCCUUAAACUCAACCUCUUUCUCUGUAUGUAGGAUAUGGACACCUCCUGCUGGCUCUUUUUCCGGAGAGCCCAGUGAACACACCGUGCAUCAGGCUCCAUCAUUCACCAGAGCGUCUUUCCAACAGACUUUGCUGUGAUAUUUCUUAAAUAAAGGUCACUCCAAAGACCCUCACCUCUGGAUUGUAACCAACUCAGUGGCAGACUUAAUCCAUUUCUAUCUGCUGACAUUUCUCACAUGGAAUAGGCUGUUUGACAGAUUGAAGCUGUCUCCCCCCACUCCCCAGGCCAGUGCACACUUAUCUCCCUUGAAUGUUCAUUUUGUGCUCAUUUUAGAGACUGAGGCACAAAGACAGGCAAAUACAAGGUGAAGUCAGUGACAAAUAAACAAUGCUAUUUAGGCAUUGAGAGUUUGUUUUUGUGUUUGUGUUUUUUUGCUAAUUAAUUCCACCUGGUAGAGGAGGGCGAGGGGAAAGAGGAAGGGAGAAGUUUCCUGGCAGGGCUGAGAGGCAGAAUGGUGCCUGCACCUCCUGGAGUGCACGGCAAUGGUCUGGCUCUGCUGCCUUCUAUGGGUAAGGGCCCACCGGUUUUUUUUCUGGGACUUAAGUCACCUGGGCUUAUACUGAGCAGCCCUCAGCAAGCUCUUCUCACUUGCCCCUGCCACCCAGAGCUCCAGGAUGCCCUAGUUCCUGCCCCUCAAAGACCUGGGACUCCUGCUCCUGGGACCUUCUGGUCGGUUCUGCUUUUCCUUGCUUCAGGACCUUACGUGGAUUCUGUCACCUGCCACCUCAGAACUCUGAGCGACACACCCACUGCAUGUCACCCAGGACAGGUUCACCCAAGUCUUUCAUCCCAAGAAGGUCCUUCCUGGCACCUUGUGGGCUGACAGCAUCUCCAGGGAACCACAGGACUUCGAGGGGGCCUGGGAAGCAUCAAGAGCUUCAGGAGGGGAGUCUGUCACAGGUGGGGAUUACGGAGCCCUGCAGGGACCCUUAGAACAGGUGGGUCGGGGUGGGGCUGAGGUCUCGACGCCUUGAUUCAGGUUCCUGGCUUAUGUCGACCUGUCUGAAAUCUCCCACCCACAGCCAAGCCACUGGCCACCCCACUGCUGCCCUGUGUCACCCUGUUUUGAUGGAGAGCUCACCAGGCUCUCCCAGCUGCUCUCCUCUUGGAGCAGGGAGUGUUGGAAGUGGGGGGCUGAUCUGCAUAUGAACGUGGCUCUUAACCAGGUGAGGGGCUUGAAGUCCUCUGGGGCUAAUGACUGUUCCAUGAAUAAUGGUCCCUCUUAAAAUGUAAUUAAACAUUUAUCAGAUGUAUUUCUACAGAAACAUCCAUCUUAAGGGGGGACCGGAUUUCCUACCAUUCAUAUCAGUCUCCUGAAAUGAGGCAGAGGCACUCCCGGCUCCCCCUCCCCUCCCCGGCCUCAGUUCCCUGGGCCGGAUGUCCUGCUGGGGCCUGUGGUGCAGUUUCGGCUGGUUCACCCCAUGCAGAGCUUGAUGGGGUUGGGUUGGUUUUAAUCAGAAUGGUAAAUUGCAAAUGAUACAGGGCCUGGGCUCUGUUGGGAUACUUGUGUUGACCAAGUCCCUUGUGAAUUAAAUCAUUUAAUACUGGAAAUGGAAAAGGCCCCCUCAUUUUCCUUCUGAAUGAGCUGUGAAAUAGGCUCUGAGAACGGCCUCCAGAGUGAAGUGGUUGUCAGGGCUUGGCACCAAGAUCUGAUGAGGGGUCAGAAGACAGGGCACCAGCAGGACAGGGUACUUGGGGAGGCCUAUCAUGAUGCGCAGUAGACGCAUCCUGUGUCGGCAGCACCCCAAACUCGGGAGGCUGGCCGGGGUGCAGCUAACAUACCUGGGAUGUGUGCACUGACUGCAUGCCACCUGAGGCACCCUCGGAGCAUCUGAGAACCAAAGAAUCACUCCUCAGCUUCCCAACCAGGGGACAAGUUUGGGCUCUGGCAUGGGACAGCUCUUGUCUGCACUCCGAAUCUCUGACCUUUCUCAAUGCAGUGCUGGGGUUGACUUGGCAGAUGAGGCUGCUGGGACUCAAAUCACCUCACUGGCUUGAAGUCGUAUUUAAUCUGCUCCCAAGAAGGUGGAGCCAAGGACUAGCUGGUCCCAGCCAUGAAUUCUCUGAAAAUUAGAAGAAUAACAAAGCAUAUCAAAUAGGAUUAACACAAACACUUUUCAACACAGUGCCUGUGAGGCAACAGAAACAUGAGCACAGGAUGCCCAUCAGUGGGGGGCCACCAGGGCCCAAUGUCUCCAAAAGCAACUUGCUGGAUGUAUCAAGAGCUUAAAUUUAAAAAGCACUUAAUCCCUGAUGCAGUUAUCACACACAUAAGAUAUUAUCUUAAGGAGCUGUUUAUAAAUGCAAACCAAGAUUAUGUAGUAAUAUGAUCAUUGCCACAUAAACUGCAACAGCAAAAGUUGGAAGCAGUACAAAUGUCCAGCAACAUAGGAAUGGAGAAGAGUGCACGGGUUUUCCAGACAGGGAAAUAUUGAAGGAUGAUUUGAUCAUAUGCUUGCCUGAAAUUUUCAAUAGUGUGGAAAGUGCUCGUGAUUUCAUGUGAAGUGAAAAAAAUGGAUACAAAAACGUGGAUUUUACACUUUUAUCACACACACACCCAUAUUCAGAGGAAAUAGUUAAAUAAGAGACAGAGCAAGGUACCAACAGUAGUAACAUGUCAGUGGUAACAUUAUAGAUGGUUUUCAUUUUCUUUUUCAUAGUUGUUGGUAUGUUUCAAAAAUGAUCAGGUCUUUGAAAAUCAGAAGGAAAAUCAGAAGCAAGAGCACCAAUUGCUACCAGGUGAAAACCACAAUAUUCUCUAGCAAUUUCUGCAAACUAUAGGAUCCUUCAUAAAAUAUACAGGUCCUUUAAUAAUUGAUAUGUUCAAUUUUUCAAUAAAAAUUCUGAUGUAAAAUAAGGAAAGAAACAUUCAAAGUAUUCAUUUUGAUCUUGUACUCAUGUUUGAGAAAGAUACAGAGCAGUCAAAUUACUUUGGAAAGUGUAAAAAUUGGUGGUUUCAUUUUAAAUUGCUACCUCUAACACCUUCAUGUGACUUCAGUAACCUAUCUGCUCCCUGACAACCUUAAAGUGCUUAAUUACCACAAAUUUCUGAAAUAAAUCUAUCAUUUGAAUAACCUU
rnacentral:lncRNA from 1 species